GUCCAGUGAUGACCUUAAAUUAGAGCCACGUGUUUGGGCCACUGACCUAAGUGAUGGGACUGAGGAACUGAGGAG